AUUGAACGCUGGCGGCAGGCCUAACACAUGCAAGUCGAGCGGAUGAAGGGAGCUUGCUCCUGGAUUCAGCGGCGGACGGGUGAGUAAUGCCUAGGAAUCUGCCUGGUAGUGGGGGAUAACGUCCGGAAACGGGCGCUAAUACUGCAUACGUCCUGAGGGAGAAAGUGGGGGAUCUUCGGACCUCACGCUCUCAGAUGAGCCUAGGUCGGAUUAGCUAGUUGGUGGGGUAAAGGCCUACCAAGGCGACGAUCCGUAACUGGUCUGAGAGGAUGGUCAGUCACACUGGAAGUGAGACACGGUCCAGACUCCUACGGGAGGCAGCAGUGGGGAAUAUUGGACAAUGGGCGAAAGCCUGAUCCAGCCAUGCCGCGUGUGUGGAGAAGGUGUUCGGAUUGUAAAGCACGUUAAGUUGGGAGGAAGGGCAGUAAGUUAAUACGUUGCUGUUUUGACGGUACCAACAGAAGAAGCACCGGCUAACUUCGUG
rnacentral:rRNA from 1 species